rnacentral:rRNA from 1 species
GGGUGAGUAACACGUGGGUAACCUGCCCUAAAGUCUGGGAUACCACUUGGAAACAGGUGCUAAUACCGGAUAACAACAAUAGCUGCAUGGCUAUUGCUUAAAAGGCGGCGAAAGCUGUCGCUAAAGGAUGGACCCGCGGUGCAUUAGCUAGUUGGUAAGGUAAUGGCUUACCAAGGCGACGAUGCAUAGCCGAGUUGAGAGACUGAUCGGCCACAUUGGGACUGAGACACGGCCCAAACUCCUACGGGAGGCAGCAGUAGGGAAUCUUCCACAAUGGGCGAAAGCCUGAUGGAGCAACGCCGCGUGAGUGAAGAAGGUUUUCGGAUCGUAAAGCUCUGUUGUUGGUGAAGAAGGAUAGAGGUAGUAACUGGCCCCUAUUUGACGGUAAUCAACCAGAAAGUCACGGCUAACUACGUGCCAGCAGCCGCGGUAAUACGUAGGUGGCAAGCGUUGUCCGGAUUUAUUGGGCGUAAAGCGAGCGCAGGCGGAAAGAUAAGUCUGAUGUGAAAGCCCCCGGCUUAACCGAGGAAUUGCAUCGGAAACUGUGUUUCUUGAGUGCAGAAGAGGAGAGUGGAACUCCAUGUGUAGCGGUGGAAUGCGUAGAUAUAUGGAAGAACACCAGUGGCGAAGGCGGCUCUCUGGUCUGUAACUGACGCUGAGGCUCGAAAGCAUGGGUAGCGAACAGGAUUAGAUACCCUGGUAGUCCAUGCCGUAAACGAUGAGUGCUAAGUGUUGGGA